UGAGGAAUAUUGCGCAAUGGGGGCAACCCUGACGCAGCAACGCCGCGUGAGUGAGGAAGGUUUUCGGAUCGUAAAGCUCUGUCGAGUGGGAAGAAAUGUAUCAUGGCUAAUAUCCAUGAUACUUGACGGUACCGCUAAAGGAAGCACCGGCUAACUACGUGCCAGCAGCCGCGGUAAUACGUAGGGUGCAAGCGUUAAUCGGAAUUAUUGGGCGUAAAGAGCGUGUAGGCGGCUGGAUAAGUCAGAUGUGAAAUCCCUGGGCUUAACCCAGGACGUGCAUUUGAAACUGUCCAGCUUGAGUAAGGGAGAGGAAAGUGGAAUUCCUGGUGUAGAGGUGAAAUUCGUAGAUAUCAGGAGGAACACCGGUGGCGAAGGCGACUUUCUGGCCCUAUACUGACGCUGAGACGCGAGAGCGUGGGUAGCAAACA
rnacentral:rRNA from 1 species